rnacentral:rRNA from 1 species
ACUCCUACGGGAGGCAGCAGUGAGGAAUAUUGGACAAUGGGCGGGAGCCUGAUCCAGCCAUGCCGCGUGCAGGAAGACUGCCCUAUGGGUUGUAAACUGCUUUUGUACAGGAAGAAACACUCCCUCGUGAGGAGCUUGGACUGGUACUGUAAGAAUAAGGAUCGGCUAACUCCGUGCCAGCAGCCGCGGUAAUACGGAGGAUCCAAGCGUUAU